rnacentral:rRNA from 1 species
UACGUAGGGUGCAAGCGUUGCCCGGAUUUAUUGGGCGUAAAGGGCGCGUAGGCGGCUCGGCACGUCCGUUGUGAAAUCGCCCGGCUCAACUGGGCGGGGUCAGCGGAUACGGCCGAGCUUGAGCAAGCUAGGGGGCAAUGGAAUUCCCGGUGUAGUGGUGGAAUGCGUAGAGAUGCGGAGGAACACCGAUGGCGAAGGCAGCCCCCUGGGCUAACACUGACGCUCAGGCACGAAAGCGUGGGGAGCAAACAGG